GAGGGUGUAGCUCAGUGGUAGAGUGUGUGCUUAGCAUGCACGAGGUACUGGGUUUAAUCCCUAGUACCUUCA
rnacentral:tRNA from 1 species